rnacentral:rRNA from 1 species
UCGAGAAUUUUUCUCAAUGGGGGAAACCCUGAAGGAGCGACGCCGCGUGGAGGAUGAAGGUCUUCGGAUUGUAAACUCCUGUCAUUAGGGAACAAUUGUCAGCCAGUAACUACGGCGGACUUGAUAGUACCUGAAGAGGAAGAGACGGCUAACUCUGUGCCAGCAGCCGCGGUAAUACAGAGGUCUCAAGCGUUGUUCGGAUUCAUUGGGCGUAAAGGGUGCGUAGGCGGCGGGGUAAGUCAGGUGUGAAAUCUCGGAGCUCAACUCCGAAACUGCAUUUGAUACUGCCUUGCUUGAGUAUUGGAGAGGAGAUUGGAAUUUACGGUGUAGCAGUGAAAUGCGUAGAUAUCGUAAGGAAGACCAGUGGCGAAGGCGAAUCUCUGGACAAUUACUGACGCUGAGGCACGAAGGCCAGGGGAGCAAACGG